GGUUGUGGUUCAGUGGUAGAGCAUUCCCCUGGCACAUGUGAGGCACUGAGUUCAAGCCUCAGCACCA
rnacentral:tRNA from 1 species